rnacentral:lncRNA from 1 species
GGCACACAUAAAUGACAUUUUUCAGCUUCCCUUAAAGUAAUGAGUAGCCACGUCAUCAUGUGCUGCUGGCCAAUGGUGUGUAUGGAGAAUUGGUUUGUAACCAUCCUUGAGUCAAGAGCCAGUGUAACUUCCUCCACCUUUUGCUUCUUCAUCUGCUGCAUUGAUAUCGGGUAGCCAUGUGUACCAGACAAUAUAGCUGGAGUAGAAGCUGCCUACAGGAGGAGAACUUCCAAGGAGAAACACACAGCCUGCAUUUUGCUGUUUUUUUCUGGCUUUAAGAGACUAAAACUUUGUGUUUGGUUGUUACAGCAGCUGUCAUGAAUUACCAUGAUAUAUUGGUAAUCUAUUAAUAUGUCUUAUCUAAAUUCUCCAAUGUAGUGCUCAGUUAUUUACUGUAUUUCAUUGUUAUUAUUCUGAAGAAUGUUUUACAGCAAAAUGAAACUCAAUAUUAUAUAUUUGAAAAGAUUAUCAUAGAGAUUGUAGCUUGGUAAAUUGUAUUGUAUGCCCUAUUAAGAAUUCAGAGAAGAAAUUUCUCUUAGUUCUAUUAAUAAUAAAAGAUCACUUACUUAUGUUCUUGAUCUGCUCUUAUCUCAUGGACACUCUAAAUCUUGUAACCGAUUGUGUUUUCCUCAGGGCCAACUUUGUGGCUCAUGUCUAGUAACCAGAUAAGCUUUAUAAUAUACAGGUGCUUUUUGACUUGCAGUGGGAUUAUAUGCCAAUAAAACCUUCAUACAUUGAAAAUAUCAUUAAUUCAAAAUUGUACUUAAUGCUCCUAACCUAAGGAACCUCACAGAUUAGCAACACAGCAUACUGUCAGUGGCUUCCCCUCAUGAUUAUAGCGCUGACUGACAAUCACUGCUGCUACCCAUUAUCAAGAGACUGGAGGAUCAGACCACACAGCACUAGCUCUGGAAAAGACCCAAACUCAAAAUCCCAAGUACAGUGUCUAGUGAAUACAUAUCACUUCUGUACAGGCUCACACUACCAUUCCUGGCUGAAAGAAACAUUUUAUAUUUCACUCAAAUACAGAUAUUGAGAAGCAUAAUAACCUAUGUUAUUAUUUAGGCAGAAUACUGUUGGCUGUCUAUAUCGUGGGUUCUGAACCCACAAAUCCAACCAACCAUAAAUCAAAAAAAAAUUUUUUUAAUUGUAACUAUAUUGAACAUAUAGACUUUUUUGGACAAUAUUCCUUAAACCACAUACUAUAACAACUAUUUAUAUUAUUAUUAUUAUUUAUAUUAUAUUGUACUAGGUAAUAUAAGUGAUUUAGAGAUAAUUGAAGUAUUUGGAAAGAUAUGCAAAGGCUAUAGGCAAAUACUUUGUCAUUUUUUAUGAGACAUGGGCGUUUGCAGAUAUUUAUUUCUGUGGAGAAAAGAAAACCUGGAGUCAAUCCCCUGUGGAUAUUCAAUUUAGUUCUCUUUCCACAAAUGUAUAGUGUUUACCAAUUUCAUUGAAAAUCUUUAAUGAAGUGAAAGGAGAUAGGUCAGAGAGAGAGCACAUGGAACAUAUUUUAUUAAUAUACAAAUUAUUAUUUUUCCCUGGUGCAAAUACCAAAAUUAUCAACGCUGCAGAAAAAGAUAAUAUUGCAACACUGUAUUGUGAUUUUUUUUUCAGAGAUGAGACAGUGAUGAAUUACAGCUCACUCUAAGUGCAGAUAAGGCUGUGGCAUUAGCCCUAUCUGAAGCCUGGCAGUAUUAGAUGGGAAGGUAGCUAUGUAUCCUACAGGCCACCAGUUCAGACAGAAGGUGCUGUUAGACUAGAUUAUUUGCAUACUUUCCUGUGGAUCUGUGAUGUCUCCCUGGGAUAGGCUUUGAAAAAUCACUAUGGCUCUGGGUCCUUAUUAGCCAAUAACUCCUAAAGGGCUGUGAACAACUUUAGAAAGAUACACUAUGUUCAAAAGCUUGAUUAUAAUGGGUAAAUAUAUAUGGCCCCAUAUAUGUAUGUUUGUAA